AUUGAACGCUGGCGGCAGGCCUAACACAUGCAAGUCGAGCGGAUGAAGGGAGCUUGCUCCUGGAUUCAGCGGCGGACGGGUGAGUAAUGCCUAGGAAUCUGCCUGGUAGUGGGGGAUAACGUCCGGAAACGGGCGCUAAUACCGCAUACGUCCUGAGGGAGAAAGUGGGGGAUCUUCGGACCUCACGCUAUCAGAUGAGCCUAGGUCGGAUUAGCUAGUUGGUGGGGUAAAGGCCUACCAAGGCGACGAUCCGUAACUGGUCUGAGAGGAUGAUCAGUCAAAAGGGAAAUGAAAAAGGGUCCAAAAUCCAAGGGGGGGAAAGAGGGGGGAAAUUUGGAAAAGGGGGGAAAGCCGGAGCCAGCAAGGACGGGGGGGUGAAAAAGGUCUUGGAAUUGUAAAGAAAUUUAAGUUGGGAGGAGGGGAAGUAAGUUAAAACCUUGCUGUUUUGACGUUACAAACAAAAAAAGCACCGGCUAACUUCGU
rnacentral:rRNA from 1 species